rnacentral:pre_miRNA from 1 species
AAACUACUCCCUUCGUUCGGAAUUACUUGUCUCGGAAAUGGAUGUAUCUAGAAUUAAAAUACGUCUAGAUACAUCCAUUUCUGCGACAAGUAAUUCCAAACGGAGGGAGUAGAAA